rnacentral:rRNA from 1 species
AUAUAUAGCAAUUUCUGCUCCAUGGAAAACUAAAUAGCCGCAGUACCUUGACUGUGCAAAGGUAGCAUAAUCAGUUGUCUUAUAAUUAAAGUCUAGGAUGAAAGAAAAAAUGAAGGAUUACUGUCUCUUUAGUAAAAGAAGAAGUUACCUAUCAAGUGAAAACUCUUGAGCAUAUACAUUAGACGAGAAGACCCUGGAAAUUUGUUGUAAAAUUUACAAUGGUACAUUUUGUUGGGGCGACAAAGUAACAAUUUUUAAACUUACUUUUUGAAUAGGACAUUUUUAUAGUGUAUAAUAAAAUUACUCCAGGGAUAACAGCAUAAUAUCUUAAAGUUUGUGACCUCGAUGUUGGACUAGGAAAGGUAAUUAUUUAGAAGAAAAUUAACUACGCUCUGUUCGCGCGGUAAAUUCCUACGUGAUCU